rnacentral:sRNA from 1 species
AUGUAAGAUGCAUCAUUUAUGUCUUUUUGAAUUGACUAAGUCGCAAUCUGAUUAUAUCAUCGUGAUUUUUUAUAUGCAAUAUAGAAGAACCUGGUAAAACGAAUCAGGUUCUUUUUUGA